AUUAAAAAAUGAGUAAACACAAGUGACACAAUAAAAUGUACUUAAUACAUGAACUUGUGAACAUUGUCUACAUGAGAAGUUAAUAGAUAGUAGUCAAUUACAUCAUAUAAUUUGGUUCUAUACUCUUUUGUGUAUAUAUCCUGAAUGAUACCCCUUUGUGAUCAACUCUUUGUCCUCCAAAUCGAAUGGCACAGCUACUGCCCCUUGUGGAAAAAGAAAGGGUUCUGUAAUACCCAUAAAUGUAAAAGGAAAACAUCAUGUGAUGCAUCUCAACCUGCGCAAAACAAUGUAAAAAACAUACAUGCUAUCUACAUACCCUCAUUGUCUAGCAAAACAUAAGUAGCUGAGGGACCCUAUACAAAAGAAUUGACAAUUAGUAAGAAAGAAGCAUGCCACUUUACAUGGAACAAAAAAAUUGAUUAUUAUGGUGAGCGCAGAAUAACAUGAAGUUGUCAUGUGCAGCCAACAACUGCAGCUAUCUGUAUAGGCUACUGCUACUUUACAAUCUAUAUUGACAGGAAUAUUUGUGAAGUCAUUCAAAUCUAUCUUAAGUGAAAACAUGCUUAUAAGGCAUACUUAAUUCUCUCUGUUGUUCAUUUUCCUUUUGAUGUCACUUUAUUCAUAUGGUAAAUAUGAGUUUAAUCAUCAGUAGACAGAAACUUUGUGUGAAUCAAAAUACCAAGUUUAGUAUGGAAACUAUAGUUUCUCCAUAUGUCAUUAUUUCAAGACAAAGCAUGUUAUUCACACCCACUUAGAAUCAUAAUUUCCAGUAAACUUUCCAUACAGCAAUAUCAAUAAAAAGGCUUCUGUUCUUUACCUUUAAUAGAAGAGGCAACUGGCUGAGGCUGCCCUAGCAUGAGGUCAAACUGUCGAUUGCAGAGCUGAAGCGCUAUUGAAAGUAAUUACAUCACCUGCUCGAUGUACAAAAUAACCAUUAUAUCAUAUAUCAUAUUUUACGGUUAAAACUGCAAAAGGAGUAGAGAACGGCAAAAGGGCACUACACAAUUUAGUCAACAAACUAAGUUUAGAGGCGCAAAUGUAUGAUGGAGCUAGCGCACGAAUUCCUUUCGCUGGUCUCGGUGUGAAUUACGUAGCCUGACAACUAAAUUUCAAAUCAUGGCAUGAUGGCAAGCAAGGAAAAGGUGCCAAUUCACCACCACUACCAAAUUCCUCCACAUCCAGCUAACUUUUAUGGCUUCAUGCCAACAUUGGCCAACUCCUUUAACAUGUAGUAGAAACAAAUGAUUUAAUUUAUAUCAUACAGUAAAAUCUUCCCUCAAGUCUGAAAGUACCACAGACCCUGAUGUAAGGAGCAGAAUAAAUUUAAACCAUCAGGCGCAUUGUAUCUAAAAUCAGGGCCAACCUCUCAAAUAUAUAUAUGGUGUUCUUGUCCUCGAGAAAUAGAAAAGCGAGUUAUAUACAAGGAAAAUGUACCAAAAGCAAGGUGAGUUAGUUGUUUCAAACAUGCAGUCCUUGCUAAACAUUUAGCCGAAAGAAGUAGAAUAACUAACCCAUCACUAAUGCUUAAGUACAGUAUCUGAUUUUUUUUCUGGCCAUGCAAACAUGUAAAUAUUUAGCAGAUAUGUAGACUAAAGUGUCAACUAAAAAACCCUGUCCGCAAUUGGAAGAAACAUAAUCAGUCUAGAAUAAGCAUUGGUAGCUAGAUAAAUUACUUAUUUCAAGUUGACUGCUAUUUCUUUUAGGAAGCAAAUCAUGGUAGGAAGUCAACUAUUAAAUGGCAAGAAGAUGAUUGUCCAGCAGUUUUUCCUCUGGUUGAUUUCGGGUAAAACAGAGAGGCCAUACCAGCUACACUUCCUCAUUUGUAAAUUACCGACGCUUGUUCUUGUUUUGAUUCAUUUAGGCUGGCUAUCUUCUUGCUGCUUGAACCACAAGUUAUUUUCUCUUUCUUGAGACCUCUACAUAGAUAGAGGAAAAUCAAGAAGAUGAAAAUUCCAUUAGAGAUCAAAAUAUCGACCUUCACUAUCACAACCAGUCAUAGAAAGUUAAAACUGAAGAGCAGAAAAAUUCGUUGAAUGAACCAGAGAUGCGGUGUCAACUUUCUUAAAUUCCAGUUAAGAUUUUUUUACAUUCUAAAAGAGUGAUCAUGCAUGCCAUUUUACCUUUUUGUUAUCCCAAUUCCAUGGAUAAAUGAAUUAAUUGUAGUUGCUGACACUCCCCGUUACCGUAGCCUUGCCAAUGCUUGAGAAAUCUGUCAAAGGGAAACUUGCAACAUCAUUAACCUAACAAUGAUUCUGAAAGAUACUACAGCGCUAAGUCUGUUUACGAUACCUACACAAAAGAUGCUUUAAUAAUCGUAGAUUUGAUAUUACCAUCAUACUAUACUUGGUCAGCUAAAUAAUCCUCCCACCAGCCAUAAGAGGAACUUAACAAAGUAAGCUAACAAAAAAAUUUAAGAAACAAGAACAAGCUGAACAUCGCAAGGCAAAACACUCCGGCAUGAUUAGAUAUGGCACUGUCGUCAACAAUGAUAACUUUACAACACGUCAACAUGUCAUCGAAGAGGAACUCACCUAGCACAACCAGCAUGUUGAGAUUGUUUUCUUUGUCUCUUCUUCAGACAAAUCCAAAUUGCCCACAUGCUCAUGUUCAAAGCAUCUGUUCUCAACAUCAAGAGGAAACAGUAAAAGAAGAUUUUGUGUACAUGUUCUUAUCAGCAGUAAAUUGGGGCAAAUAAGACAAAAAUUAAACACAUGUUCUUAGCAGGAGUAAAUGCAAAUAAUACAGAAAUCCUAUGUGCUACUGUAAUAAUGCUGAAAUUUAGCACAGUAGAAACACAUAUAACAUCAAACACCUAGAGAUAGAUCAAGUGGAAACAACCAGCAUGCAGACGGGAAACACAUAUAACAACAACCACUUAGAGAUAGUCAAUAUAGCAAACAUAUAUAGAACCAAUAAAGUUGGAGGCGUACCUGCCAGCCUGCAAGAUCUCUCUCGCACACCAAAAUAACACGGCCUCCUGCAGAACAAAGGGAUCUAAGAAUGGCCCAUAAAACCAAGCGAUAUAGCAGUGGAAGGGAGCAAACCUUAAUCACAGCAGGCCGCUAGCAACUGAUGGAUUGAAUAGCACCUACAGGAAGAACACGGUAAUGCACAUAUCAAAAAGCGGCCAGAACAUGGACUGUAUGGACUGCAUAUCCUACUGAAAAGAAGAACCAGUUGGAGGUUCGUGGCAUGGAAGGAGUGGACAGAGACCUCCAUGUCAGAUCUAGCAGCACAUAUCCUCUUGUCUUCUCCUCUGCGCAUCGUCAUGGAAGGAAGCCUCCUCCUCGCUAACCCUAUCUGCAUAAGAACACAAAAAUAUAAGUAGUCAUGAAUUAGAGGGAUGAGCACAGGUCACCAUGGAAUAUGAGGAAACGAUGAAGAAAGAGCUUACGUGUCGGGCGUCUCCUCGACGAACUGGGAGCCAUCCUCGAUCUCUACUCCUCUACAGAUAGCCGCCAAGAGUGGGGGGUCGAGCAGGAUGGGUUCCCCUGAUGCCCUCACUGCAGCAGCCACUCCAGCUCUCUUGGACGCGACCUACGGCCGAUCCGGAAUCACAGCGCGCGGCACCUGAUGGCGGCAACCCGGCGAAAUUGUCAAUCUGAAAACAGAGUGAAAGCAUCAUUAAUCUUGGAAUAAAACUAAAUAUUAGAAAGAAAACAUUGUCUAUAAAAAAUAGAAAGAACGUGAUAAUGGUCACCUCCAGCUCAUACAAAAUUAGCGACAUCAAGAGACAACAAAUUAUAAAUCGAAUUAAAUAUUUGCACAAUUCAAAUAUCUGCACGAAAAUCUACAAGCAAACAAACAACCCCAUGGAUCUUUCAUUGUACAAAGGCAUCUCAAUAUACACUUAGAGCUUGAUAAUAGAAAUGAGGCAUAGUUAUUUUAGUCUGCCAAGCAUUUUGUGCCUACCGCAAUCAUGAAGUAUACUGUGUAACCAACCUAAUCGUUUUCUCAUUGUUACCCAAGAAGGAAGAACUACCUAAAUAACUGAGAGGAGUGCAGUGAGGAGGAUGGCUUGGGUACUGAUUCAAACUAACAACCGAUAGAUCGGGUUUCACAUUAACAUAAAACAACAUCACAUUUAUCAUCAAGUGCUAAGCUAUCAUCAUUCAAAUGCAUGUAAUUUCUGGUUUUACGUGGACAUACUGAAUGAAGCAAUGGGAAAACAUAGAGAUCAGAAUAGCAGUCCAUGUAGCAGACAAAGUCAAAAUAGCAACAAUUUCAAUCGCUUCUAGGACUAUUAGCAGUGGGCCAUGCACUUGCAGGUCCGUUGCCAUUAAAAUGGAAUCAGGUUACCCCAUGGUAGCACAUUUAAAAGGUGCCGGAAUCUAAACAGAAAUCUGAACAUAUCUUAACUGAAUCAAAAUGACUAUCCUAUACAUGUAAAUGCACAUAGAAUAGCCAGGAAAACAGAUCAAGUUACUCAAUGGCAGCACGCACACGCAUCAAAAGGUGUGGAAACCUAAACAGAAACAGAAACAUAUAUUAACCGAAUCGAUCAAACCUAGCUAUCCGAUCCAGGCCAACCAAUGGCAUCACAUAUAUAUCGACCGAAAUGCAUUGGGCCAUUGUAAAGCAAACACAAAAAAUUCACACAGGCCAGAAUGAGCUAAUAAGAAAUCUGAAUGGAGGAUCAAUACACAAGUUUGUGAUUAUGGAUAGGUUCGCGUUGUUUAGAGAUGCGGGUUGCAGGCUAUAUCCAUGCCAAGACAGUACCUUGUAUGUAUAGGACUGAAGGAUACUAUUUUUAAGAAUCUAAAUCUAACUUCCAUUUAACAGAAAUUAUAGCAUCUAUACUAUGUAGAGGGUUCAGAUAUAUAUUUGUUCACCAAGCUUCUUUAUUAUGUCCAUCUCCUUUUUUUGUUGCAAUAUAACACAGGGAGCCAUUGUUAGUCCGAAACCAGACUGCACGCGAAUUUGGGCGCAUUAAUUUCACAAGCCAAGGAAAUAAUGUACUUCCCAAGACAUACCAUAGCCUAUUCCUCUUAUUUCUUUCUCAGAAAUGCACACAUCAAAUUAGAGGAAUUUUAGGGAAAUAAAUGAAAGCUUGAUGCGAGACAGGAAUGGGCAAGCAUAUGGGAAACGAGCACUUGCAAGCAUAUUCUUAC
rnacentral:lncRNA from 1 species